GACGAACGCUGGCGGCGUGCCUAAUACAUGCAAGUCGAACGAAGCUGUUUUAACUGGUGCUUGCACCGACUUAAACAACUGAGUGGCGAACGGGUGAGUAACACGUGGGUAACCUGCCCCAGAGCGGGGGAUAACAUUUGGAAACAGAUGCUAAUACCGCAUAACCACAGAAACCACAUGGUUUCUGUGUCAAAGAUGGUUUCGGCUAUCACUUUGGGAUGGACCCGCGGCGUAUUAGCUAGUUGGUAAGGUAAUGGCUUACCAAGGCAAUGAUACGUAGCCGAACUGAGAGGUUGAGCGGCCACAUUGGGACUGAGACACGGCCCAAACUCCUACGGGAGGCAGCAGUAGGGAAUCUUCCACAAUGGACGAAAGUCUGAUGGAGCAACGCCGCGUGAGUGAAGAAGGUUUUCGGAUCGUAAAACUCUGUUGUCAGAGAAGAACGUGUGCGAGAGUAACUGCUCGUGCAGUGACGGUAUCUGGCCAGAAAGCCACGGCUAACUACGUGCCAGCCGCCGCAGUAA
rnacentral:rRNA from 1 species